rnacentral:rRNA from 1 species
AACGAACGCUGGCGGCAUGCCUAACACAUGCAAGUCGAACGAGACCUUCGGGUCUAGUGGCGCACGGGUGCGUAACGCGUGGGAAUCUGCCCCUUGGUUCGGAAUAACAGUUAGAAAUGACUGCUAAUACCGGAUGAUGACUUCGGUCCAAAGAUUUAUCGCCAAGGGAUGAGCCCGCGUAGGAUUAGGUAGUUGGUGGGGUAAAGGCUCACCAAGCCGACGAUCCUUAGCUGGUCUGAGAGGAUGAUCAGCCACACUGGGACUGAGACACGGCCCAGACUCCUACGGGAGGCAGCAGUGGGGAAUAUUGGACAAUGGGCGAAAGCCUGAUCCAGCAAUGCCGCGUGAGUGAUGAAGGCCUUAGGGUUGUAAAGCUCUAUUACCAGGGAUGAUAAUGACAGUACCUGGAGAAUAAGCUCCGGCUAACUCCGUGCCAGCAGCCGCCGUAA